UGCCAGCAGCCGCGGUAAUACGUAGGGGACAAGCGUUAUCCGGAAUCACUGGGCGUAAAGGGUGCGUAGGCGGUUUAACAAGUCAGAAGUGAAAGGCAUUGGCUCAACCAAUGUAAGCUUUUGAAACUGUUAGACUUGAGUGCAGGAGAGGAAAGUGGAAUUCCUAGUGUAGCGGUGAAAUGCGUAGAUAUUAGGAGGAACACCAGUGGCGAAGGCGACUUUCUGGACUGUAACUGACGCUGAGGCACGAAAGCGUGGGGAGCGAACAGGAUUAGAUA
rnacentral:rRNA from 1 species